rnacentral:antisense_RNA from 1 species
CGCACACCCUCGUGCAACGUGAAGCUCACCUGAUGACCCACCAUGGCCAGCAGGCUGCGGAGGUAACGCUCCCGAAGGGCGGCUCGUGCCCGCUGCUCCUGGGAUUCCAGGGAUUCUUGAGCUAUGGGACACUCCUGGAUUUCAGGAACCUCUGGCCUCAACGGGGCUCUGCGUCCAUCAGGGGCAAAGCCACGGCUGAAGCCAUCAGGGCCCCGGGGCAGCCGGAGCACAGGCACGGGAAUGGUCACUGGAGUUUGCAUUGUCUUGGCUGUUGAGUGAAGAAAAAGAGCAGAAGUCAUUACAUGGCUCUUCCUGUCUCUGCACCUGAACUGUGAGCCCCUUGCAAGACAGGACCCUGCAGAUAGACCAAGGAUGUAAACCAGGGCUACUCAGUCUGGACACUAUUGACAUUUGGGGCUGGAUAAUUAUCUGCUGUGUUGUGGGGGCUGUCCAACGCAUAGGUGUAGGGUUUGAGCAGCAUCCUAGCCUCUGCCUCCUAUUAAUAGAUGCCAGUAGCAUCCCGUCUUCAAGUUGUGACAGCCAAAAAUGUCACCACUGGUGAACAGUGAAUUGGUGAAUGUGAGUUGCAUCUCAAUACAGUUUUUUUUUUUAAAGUCUC